UAUGGCAGCAGAUGUCAAAAUUCGUUACAGCAAUGUGUUUAAUGCUUUUCAACCAAUAAAUGUUAUGUUGAUAGAACUUCGGAAUUCGUCGCGUGUUUGUCGUGAGUGCACCGAAAUUAGAUGAUCUGAACGAAACUCAAGUACGUACCAGAUGCACAAGUCUAAUCUCAGGAAGUAUCGUCCAAUAUCUGCUUGAGUUAUUUUGUUUUCGAACUUGCUUUUUUUGGCCUAUGUAUUCAUCGAGGUAUUAAUGGAGUAUCCGGUAGAUUGGUUGAACAAUAAGUGCAGUUUUAUCAGUGUAGAAAAAACGAAUAAACAAUAAAUGCUCUGGACAAUUACAAUCUAGGCACCACCUCAGUGUAACAUGUAAUUGUGUUUAUAACGUAUUUAAUAGGAAGUGAUAUAAUACAUAAUGCAAAACAGCAAUACAUUGUGAGAAAUAAUGAUAGCUCAUUGUGAAUGAGACGAUAUAUAGCCAAGAAUUUUCCAAAGUGUCAUAUCACUUUAUUUACUCAAUAGUAACAUUUAAUAAUACAUAAUUUAAUUGAUAACCGUGUUUUGUGUGUAAUGUUUUUUUACAUGAGGACAUGCUUUACUUAUUUUACGAUACACUCGAUUUUAAGUAGUAUUACCUAAUAUCAAUAUCGAUUUAAUGUAGGCAACUAUUUUCUGUAGUUUGAAGGGCAGUGGCGAAUGUCGGAACGUUUUCUCUCUCUCCACAUUCGUCCAUCCGAAUUCAAUAACUUAUGUACACAAUACCAUCUCAACCCAAAAUGUGAACAGAUUAAGGCUCCAGCAGGCUAUAGACUACGUUCUACAAUGUACAAUGCAUUAUGUAUUUUUUUUUCUUAGAUUUCAUUUUCACGCUUUGUCUGGGUGUGUAAUGUGUGCUAAGCGAUAGCACCAAAAGAUUCGCCAAUUCUAAUCACUUGGCACAACAAUUUCUUUUUUCUUUUUUUUCAAUCUGUAACUAUGUAAAAUAACCAAUACACUGAUCGAAUUUAUGUGUGUAUUAAAUUUCAUUUUAUUCCACUUCAAUUGAUCCUAGCAACAUAUUAGCUAUAAUAGAUGUAAUAAUUAUAAAACAAUGUGUCUUAACAAAAUUGUAGAUAUUUAUUUAUACUUCGUGUAAUAUAAAGUUUGAUAAAAA